rnacentral:rRNA from 1 species
AGUGAACGCUGGCGGUAGGCCUAACACAUGCAAGUCGAACGGCAGCACAGUAAGAGCUUGCUCUUACGGGUGGCGAGUGGCGGACGGGUGAGGAAUACAUCGGAAUCUACUUUUUCGUGGGGGAUAACGUAGGGAAACUUACGCUAAUACCGCAUACGACCUACGGGUGAAAGCAGGGGAUCUUCGGACCUUGCGCGAUUGAAUGAGCCGAUGUCGGAUUAGCUAGUUGGCGGGGUAAAGGCCCACCAAGGCGACGAUCCGUAGCUGGUCUGAGAGGAUGAUCAGCCACACUGGAACUGAGACACGGUCCAGACUCCUACGGGAGGCAGCAGUGGGGAAUAUUGGGCAAUGGGCGCAAGCCUGAUCCAGCAAUACCGCGUGGGUGAAGAAGGUCUUCGGGUUGUAAAGCCCUGUUGUUGGGAAAGAAAAGCAGCAGGUUAAUACCCCGCUGUUCUGACGGUACCCAAAGAAUAAGCACCGGCUAACUUCGUG